CUUUGAAACAAAUGUUUAUUACUGUUUAAUGGAACCAAAGGGGCAACACAAAGCAUUGAAAAUGUCACUGGCUCACAAAUCAGCCACCUUGUUACCUUCUUGGUCACAUUUGUUUAUUCACAAGGUUUCAUUCACACAUCUAAACAAGAUACCAAUCCAGUACAAGAUCAUAACGGUUAUAAAAGUAAACAUUUGUUGGGACAAUGUACAAUAAAUUGCACUUUCUUAACAAGCAUCACAUUUACCUUAAUAGAGUGUACUGCACAUAAUACAUGGCAUUGUGGAAACAAGUAACUGGUCAGUGUUUAUAGAGGAAGAGGCUGACGGCUAAUGUUGAUUUUAUGGUCAAUUAGUACUUUCCAGACUAGUCAACUCCUUUAUUCUAACAUGUUUUUAUUGUAGAUGCUGGGGAAAAUAAUAUUUCAUAAAAAUAGCAUAAGGUUUAUAUUACCUCCUCAGUAAGGGAAAGGCAGGACUUGGAAAGAAAGAAAUGGGGCUGACAAAAAACCCUUUCCCUAAUUUGAACACAGCAUCCAUGCAUUAUGUAAAAAUGCCAAGAAUAGUGAAACCAAUGCAGGGGGCUGAUGGGACAUCUUGGAUGCUGGGACCAUCUCCAUCUUUAUUCUUGUGCUUUAUGACAAUAUCUUUUAACUCAUUUAUACUCACAAAUCAGUUUCUUUGACCAUUUCCAUAUGUAGUACGGUUAUUCGAAGUUGUUGGCUAGUGGAAGGAGUCUUACAUUAAUCAUUUGUCAAUUAAAAAAUAAUGUUCAUUUUCUUCUCAAUGAUUCAUUUUUCUUAAAUGUUUUUCAAAUACUGUUAAUGAUAAACCAGAGAUGAGAGCACAAUAGGGGGACAUAUUGAUGGAGAUAGUUUUAUAGCAGGUGACAUGUAUUGUUGGAGGUAAGUUCGAGCUGUAGUUCAUUAUGAGGAAAUUGAGAAUGAUAUACAGGACAGCUGACUGUAAUCACUAAAGUUCUAUACACAUCUACUUUUUCUUCUUAUAAUUCAAGAUCAGCAUCAUCUGUUGAGGUAUAGUCUAUAUGGGAGUCUUCAUGUUUGCAGAGCUUUAAAGGUAAGGAAAUGGGUAAUGUAAAGUGCCUUGCAUGUGUUACAUAUAAGCCACCAUCAGAAAAGAAGUGCUGAAUGUGACCCCCAGCACAAAGACUAGACAGUUUUACACACGGUCAUUAGAAACAGGCCACAGAGAUGCUGCCUGGGCUUCCAGUUCUGAUCAUUAUGUCUCAAAAUCUAAUAUGUAUUUGGUUGCAUGGUAUCUAGGUAAACAAAAGAAUUAUAUACUCUAUAAAAUUUUACCACACACACACACACACACACACACACACACACACACACUCACUGCACACAUGCACACUCACCCCUAACUAUUCAAAUCAUACAACAGAAUUGUUCAUUAUCUCAUUUGCUAGAUAUUAAAGCAAAACAAUAAUCUAUUGUAGAGUAUUAUAAAGAAUAAGUUAUGUAAUACAAUCAUCUUUCUAAGUGUCAUUCUUAGAAGAUAAAACCAGGUCCUUCCUUUAAAAUGAUCUCUCUGUCCACUUAAAGGAGUAAAGUACAGGCAGCCACCUCCGUGUCUGAUGCACAGGGCUGGGGAGGUCAUUAGCAGAGAUGGUUUCAGUGAGAGCACAAGAGCGCUCAGUCUGAUAUUAGCUACACGUUUGGCGUUUUGUUGUUCCUGUUUUUUAAAAUGGGUCCUUGCUAUGUCAUCCUAGCUAGUUUGAAGCUCACUGGGUAGUCUGAGCUGGCCUUGAGCUCACAGGCACGCCUGUGCCUCAGCCUACCGAGUGUUGGGAUUGUGGGUGUGUAUCCCUGUAAUCAACAUGGAUACUUGAUCUAAGUGACUACUUUAAGGCUCUUUUAUCUGCUGUGCCCUUUUAUCUACAUACUGUUUCAGUUUUCUCACUUUAGCUAAAACCACUAAUUGCCCAAUUCAAUAGCUGGACCAGGGUGAAGACAAAUGAAUACACACUGUAGGAAAGGUGAACAUUUAAAAAAGCAUAGGAAAUAAAACAAACACCAAACUCUCAUCAUUAGAACAAAGGGGUCUUC
rnacentral:lncRNA from 1 species